rnacentral:rRNA from 1 species
GGCUCAGAUUGAACGCUGGCGGCAGGCUUAACACAUGCAAGUCGAGCGGAAACGAGAGGUAGCUUGCUACUUCGGCGUCGAGCGGCGGACGGGUGAGUAAUGCUUGGGAAUAUGCCUUUAGGUGGGGACAACAGUGGGGAAACGCAUGCUAAUACCGCAUAAUGUCUACGGACCAAAGGGGGGACGCUUCGGCCCUCUCGCUCAUAGAUUAGCCCAAGUGAGAUUAGCUAGUUGGUAAGGUAAAGGCUUACCAAGGCGACGAUCUCUAGCUGGUUUGAGAGGAUGAUCAGCCACACUGGGACUGAGACACGGCCCAGACUCCUACGGGAGGCAGCAGUGGGGAAUAUUGCACAAUGGGCGAAAGCCUGAUCCAGCCAUGCCGCGUGUGUGAAGAAGGCCUUAGGGUUGUAAAGCACUUUCAGUAGGGAGGAAAAGUUAGUCGUUAAUAACGGCUAACCCUGACGUUACCUACAGAAGAAGCACCGGCAAACUCCGUGCCAGCAGCCGCGGUAAUACGGAGGGUGCGAGCGUUAAUCGGAAUUACUGGGCGUAAAGGGUUCGUAGGCGGCUUGUUAAGUCGGAUGUGAAAUCCCUGGGCUCAACCUGGGAACUGCAUUUAGAACUGGAUAGCUAGAGUAUAGUAGAGGAGAGGGGAAUUUCAGGUGUAGCGGUGAAAUGCGUAGAGAUCGGAAGGAACAUCAGUGGCGAAGGCGACUCUCUGGACUAAUACUGACGCUGAGGGACGAAAGCAUGGGUAGCAAACAGGAUUAGAUACCCUGGUAGUCCACGCCGUAAACGAUGUCUACUAGCCGUUGGGUUCCUUGAGGACUUAGUGGCGCAGCUAACGCAUUAAGUUGACCGCCUGGGGAGUACGGCCGCAAGGUUAAAACUCAAAUGAAUUGACGGGGGCCCGCACAAGCGGUGGAGCAUGUGGUUCAAUUCGACGCAACGCGAAGAACCUUACCAGGUCUUGACAUCCUACUAAGUUUCCAGAGAUGGAUUCGUGCCUUCGGGAAAGUAGUGACAGGUGCUGCAUGGCGGUCGUCAGCUCGUGUCGUGAGGUGUUGGGUUAAGUCCCGCAACGAGCGCAACCCUUGUCCUUAGUUGCCACCAUUAAGUUGGGCACUCUAAGGGGACUGCCGGCGUCAAGCCGGAGGAAGGCGAGGACGACGUCAAGUCAUCAUGGCCCUUACGAGUAGGGCUACACACGUGCUACAAUCGCGAGUACAGAGGGAAGCGAACCUGCGAGGGUAAGCGGAUCCCUUAAAGCUCGUCGUAGUCCGGAUUGGAGUCUGCAACCCGACUCCAUGAAGUCGGAAUCGCUAGUAAUCGCAAAUCAGAAUGUUGCGGUGAAUACGUUCCCGGGCCUUGUACACACCGCCCGUCACACCAUGGGAGUGGGUUGCAAAAGAAGUAGCUAGUCUAACCUCAAACCGGACGGUUACCACG